GACGAACGCUUGCGGCGUGCCUAAGAAAUGCAAGUCGAGCGGGGGAGCAAGUCCCUAGCGGCGAACGGUCGCGUAACACGUAAGCAACCUGCCCGAAAGACCGGGACAACAGCUCGAAAGGGCUAGCUAAUACCGGAUGUGUCCACUUUCUCUCAUGAGUUAGUGAGUAAAUCAUUUAUGGCUUUCGGAGGGCUUGCGGCCUAUCAGCUAGAUGGCGGUGUAACGGACCACCAUGGCGACGACGGGUAGCUGGUCUGAGAGGAUGGUCAGCCGGACUGGGACUGAGAUACGGCCCAGACUCCGUACGGGGG
rnacentral:rRNA from 1 species